GCAGAACUCAGUCGCAGAGGCCAUGGCGCAGAGAUCGCCAGCUAGAAGAAACUACCGAAAUCAAAGAUUUUGGUGUCUGCACGUCAUCCUGCUAGCUCACAUUGCGCGGAACAAUUCUCGCUUCGCUCCUUGAAGGAUUUACGAGAACACGAUCACGAUCCACCUUCUGCCCGCGCUCCAGCUCUCGACCCGUCAGCCUCUGUUUCAAAUGGGCGACCUUGUUUUACAAAGCCCGAAUGCCCAAAAUAAAUAAGAUCAUAGUUAUUCGAACCAUGCUGGGAACCGAGCCACCAUUCCAUGCUGACUGCGCAGACCACAAAAACGAAGCGAUGCUGCUGCAGGUUUGGUCAAGGGUCACGGGGAGACUUGAGUACGAGUGCGAGACCAUACUUUACUUUGAAACAAACAUGUGUCCC
rnacentral:sRNA from 1 species